GGGAGUGUGUGCCUAGUGGCGAUGGCAAUGGGCUGUAAACCCAUGACGUGAGAAACACCGUAGGUUCGACUCCUACCACUCCCA
rnacentral:tRNA from 1 species